CUUAAGUGGUUAAACCAAAACCAAAUAACCAAAAAACUAUUGCCCAUUUCCAGGCUCUGCCCCUUAAAGUCAGGAGCCAUAAAUAUAUUUCCAACCAAAUAAACCUGUGAUGCCCAGGAGGGUGACUUAUAUACCAACGCCACCGAGCUUCUGGGCAACCAAACUCGGUGGACCCCCAAAGCCCACGGCCAUCACCAGCAUAGACUGAAGACUGAAUACUCAAAAUAAAUAUAUCUAAACCGAAGUCGAACAAAUAAAUCACAUCGCUGCUAUAGAAACCUGCACAACUGCCCUCAAUAUCUAUGUGCCUAUAUGAAUGCAUCCCCGAUGUUUUUUAGAGCUCUGUUUAAUUUUCUCUGCACCUUUUCCAAUGGUUUUAAAUAGCUUACUUACUUCUUAAUCUCUUGCAAGAAAUUCACCGAUUUUGUAGCCAAUGUCGAUACCUCCUAAAUGUACUAUUAUUAAAUCUGGAUAAGGAAAA